CUUUUCCUUUCGGCUUUUCCCUUCACAAGCAUGAAAACGGUUUUGUUUUUUUGCUCCUAUUUCUUCUAUUUGUAGUUUGAAACUCUACUUACAACCUUCUUAAGGUCGAACGGUAUAAAAUGAACAUUCUUGCAAUUUCUUAACUGGUUUUAAGAUUUUGGUCAGGAGCGUAUGUUGAAAAGGAGUAGUUUUGAAACUGCGUUCAAUUUACGUGCAUCUCCAUUUGCUUGAAACAUAAUUAUUGUUACAUUAUUUUUUUAUUAUUUUCAGUUACAUUGCUUAUUAUUAUUAUUAGUAGUAGUAGUAGUAGUAGUGCUACAUGAGUAGGUUAGAACUAGUGCAGCUUCUGAUGAAACAAAAGAGUUACAUUGCCAUCUACUGGCCAUGGAUGCUCACUUAAUCAACAUAAUAAGAAAGCUUUGCCAAGUACAAUGACGUAAAAGAAUCGUCAAGGAGUGUAAAUACUAAGAAUGUAAAUAUGCUCUUACCUUAAUAGACGUAUUAUGAUUUGUAAAUUAGACUCAGUAGACAUGACGUAGUACUCAGUAGACGUGUGGUCAUAGUUUGGUAUAUAGCCUUGGUUUGGGUUUCGUGGCCUGCUAAACGCCACUGUUGUCGAUUUACAAAGUUCGAUCAUUGUGUCUUUCCGUAGUCCUUGUCAUUUGACCCGGAAACAUAUUGGCCUGUUUACGUCAUUAGGUGACCUAAAAUGGCGGAGUCGGAGGAGGAGGUGGAUGUGUUGGUCCAGAGAGUUGUUAAAGACAUCACCAACGCCUUUAAGAGGAACCCGAACAUUGAUGAAAUUGGUGUGAUUCCAUGUCCAGAGGCGCGCUACAAUCGCAGUCCCAUCGUGUUGGUGGAGAACAAGUUGGGCAUUGAAAGCUGGUGUGUCAAGUUUUUGCUGCCAUAUGUUCACAACAAGCUGGUUUUGUACCGCCAGCGGAAACAUUGGCUGGAUAGGGAAGCUUUGGUGGAUAUCACCUCCACCCUGUUGCUGCUGAAUCCGGACUUCACCACUGCAUGGAAUGUCAGGAAAGAGUUGCUGCAGUGCGGAGUUUUUAACCCUGAGAAAGACCUCUACCUUGGCAAGUUGGCACUCACUAAAUUCCCCAAGAGCCCAGAGACAUGGAUACAUCGGCGCUGGGUAUUGCAGCAAAUUCUUCGACGUCUCUCAGCCGUGGACUGCAGUGGAAAGCAGCAGCAGCAGCAGCAGCAGCAGCAGCGGGGUGAAGCAGAACAGGCUAAUGCAGAAAGGAGUCAGCAGCUCAGCGAGCAGCUGGCUCGAACACUCCAGCAAGAGCUCAUGAUCUGCUCUGAUGCUGCUUGCCGUUAUCCUAGCAACUAUAACGCAUGGUCCCACCGCAUAUGGGUGCUGCAACACAUGGCCAAAGGCAACGUCAAGGUUUUCCAUGAUGAGCUGUCCUCCAUGGGUCAGUGGGUGUCAAUGCAUGUGUCAGACCACAGCGGCUUUCACUACCGCCAAUUCCUGCUCAAGGAGCUAAUUACCGAGUUUUCCCAGACACGAGCUCCCAGCAACAACAGCUCUCUCCAGCAUCCGUCCAGGACAGUCCCCAGCAGCUGUCCCUUACAUUCCAGCAACUUUCAGGUGAAUGGAGAGCUUUCAGGAACAGAGGCAGUGGAUGAAGACGAGCGGGAGCUCGAAUUAGCCAAACUAUUUGAGCUCUUCCACCAAGAGAUGGUUCUGUGCACUGACCUGAUCCAGUCUUUCCCGGGACAUGAGACACUGUGGAGUCACAGGCGGCACAUCUUCUACUUGUGGCACCAGUGGAGGUUAGAGCAUCAUCUCCAGCACUUGAACAGCAAUGGCGGCAGUGUCCACCAUGACGCCGGUGACACAGGCCUGCCAAAGGCGGGCGCUCCAUGCUGUAGAAAUUGGGAGGAUGAUGUGAACGGACAAAGGCAUGCUGUUAUGGAGGUAGACGGCGUAUCACUGCCUGAUCCACGCAACAGCAAGCGCCUGAAGAGAGGCGUUCACCUACCAAGCCUCCCCAGCCUGUCCUCAGAGUGCACGUUUGUGAGCGCUAUCCUGGAGCGCACCUGUAACGCCGAGCAGAGACGCUUUGCCUCGGCCUACAAGAAGUGGUUAGACACAGUCAUCGGUAAGGAGCUCUGAGAAGAUCCAUCCUUUUCUACAUGUUCCUUUUCUACACGCAGACUAACUGCUAGUAUUUCAACGCUGCCAUGACAUUAGCAAGCAAUCAUAAUGCAACAUAUAAUCAUAGUCUUUCCAAUCACCUCAUCUACACCACUCUGACUUUAUUUUAAAUGUAAAGUCAUUAACUGAGUAUUAUUAUAUGUUGCUUCAAUCUAAUACCAAUACCUUACUGAGUAAUAUAUGUUGCUUCAUUCUAUCAUAUCUAGGUCAUGUAGGCAUGUAUUAAUAUGAAGAAGAAAUGUUUUAUAGUAUGUAUGUAGCAAAGUGCAGCCAAAAACAUUAUCAGUGCAUGUAUUUCAAUAACUUGAAGUACAUGCAGUGUUUUAACAGUACACCUGGUGGACUUUGAAUAAGCUAAAGCUCUUACCUUUUCUGGUACGACACACUACUACAAUACAAUACUACAGCCACUGUUAAAUGUCUACUAUACACGAUUCUGGAGAUAAUUAAGUGUUUUAACAGUAUAAUCAUGCUAGUACUUUUCUUUCUGUACAAUAAAGAUAAGAGGAAAUAAUGUACCUGUAGUUGUGUCACACCUGACAGGCUAUGACAAAGUAGCAUGUUAGUAGAUAUUCAUUAUUAGCUAUUCAGUCAAUUCUGUCUCAGAUGAUGGUCUAUAGAAAAUACGGAAAAAAAAUGGAAGCAGUUACAGUACCUUAUGGGGUCCAUUAUUAUUAUAAAUGAUUGUGACAUAACCGAAUGAAUGCAUUGGCAAUUCAUUUGAAAUAUUGUCAUCAAAUAUUGCUAAGAAAUUCCCAAAACAACACCUCCCAAUAUGACAAUAUCUCAUAAUAUUUGUUUCCAGUUGUGUUUUCCAUGUGACUUUGUAUCAUGUGUACCAUGUUAUAUACCAUGUGUACCAAGUGUGCGCUCUACAGUGGGGCCAAAAAGUGUUUGGCCGCCCACCGAUUGUGCAAGUUUUCCCGCUUAAAAAGAUGAGAGGUCUGUCAUUUGCACCAUAGGUACACUUCAACUGUGAGAGACAGAAUGUGGGAAAACAAAUCCAGAAAAUCACAUUUGAUGAUUUUUAAACAAUUUUUUUUGUAUAUUGCUGCGAACAAUAAAUAUUUGGACACACACAAAAGCAGCAAUUCUGGCACUCCCACGCCUUUAACUUCUCCUUUACGAAGCUCUGACAUCCUCUAUUUCUUGCUUGUAUUUGUGGCACCUGUUUGACCUCGUUACCAGUGUACCAGCAUCAAACGGUCAGACUCCAACCUCCACCAUGGCUCAGACCAGUGAGCUCUCGAAAGACAUCAGAGACAGACUUGUAGACCUACACAAGUUGGGAUAAGGUAUGGAGUUAUAGGCAAGCAGCUUGGUGUGACAAAAUCAUACAAAUCAACUGUAUUUGCAAUAAUUAAAAAAAUAAGUCUUACAAGGUCACAGAUAAUCUUCCUCACCUCGUGGGGUCCAAAUGAUCUUGCGAACGGUAAGGAAUCAGCCGGACGGAGCUGGCGAAUGACCUGCAAAGUGCUGGGGCCGCAGUCACAAAGGGUACCAUCACUAACACACUACAUUGUCAUGGAUUGUGACUGGAUUGGAUGCUGCAUUGCCAGAUCUGUCCUCCUGCUUUAAAAAAAAUGUCUAGGCCCGUUUUAAGUAUGCCAGAAACCAUCUGGAUGAUCCAGAGGAUUGUGAGAAUGUCAUGUGGUCAGAUGAGACCAAAUUUGAACUAUUUGGUAAAAACUCCACUCGUGGAGGAAGAAGGAAGCUGAGUUGCAUCCCAAGAACACUGUCCCUACUGUGAAGCACGGGGGUGGAAACAUCAUGCUUUGGGGCUGCUUCUCUGCAAAGGGGAGAGGACGACUGAUCUGCAUUAAGAAGAGGAUGAAUAGGGCAAAGUAUUGUGAGAUUUUAAGCAAAAACCUCCUUCCAUCAGUAAGAGCAUUGAAGAUGAAACGUGGCUGGGUCUUCCAGCAUGACCUUGAUCCUAAACACACCGCCCGGGCAACAAAAGAGGGGCUUUAUAAGAACCAUUUUAAAGUCCUGGAAUGGCUAAGUCAGUCUCCAGACCUCAACCCUAUAGAGAAUCUGUGGAGGGAAUUGCAAGUCUGUGUUGCUCAGGGACGUCCCCAAAACUUGACAGAUCAGGAGAUCAUCUGCAUGGAGGAGUGAGACAAAAAUACCAGUUCGGUGUGUGCAAAUCUGGUGAAGAGCUACAGGAAAAGUUACACCUCUGUCAUUGCCAGCAGAGAUUACAGUACAAAGUAUUGAGUUGAUGUUUUUGUUAGUGUCCAAUUAUUUAUUUCCCUGUCCAUUAUACAAAUAAAUUGUUUAAAAAUGAUUGAAUGUGAUUUUUCUGGAUUGUUUUCCACAUUCUGUGGAAAACUUGCAUAAUCGGUGGGCAUCCAAAUACAUUUUGGCCCCACUGUAUACCAAGUGUACCAUGUGAACCAUGUUGUAUACCAGGUGUACCAACUGGUUUGGCUGUGAGACCCAGACCCACCAUCACCUCUGGUUGACAAGCAGCAACCUGAAUUAAGAAUUUUUUUUCAACUCAGACUUCUCAGAAAUAUGACUUAUACUUAAAGGGGACUGUUUGCAACAGUGACAUGACUGUCUAGGGAAUGGGUGUCAAACUCGUGCCAUGGAGGGCUGAGACACUGCAGGUUUUUUCUACAACCAGUUUCUCCAGCAGGCGAUUUAUUGAUUAAUUGAUGAGCUCCUUUCCACAAAUGAGGUUUUGAUCAUUAAAAUCACCUGCUUUAGUGAUCUGCUGGAAAGAAAACCUGCAGGGUUUUGGCUCUCCAAGACACGAGUUUGACACGUGGCCCAGAGUGUGCUAACUUCGGAAACAUGUUGCAUUAUAUCCCGCCCUCUUCCUGUCAUAAGCAUGGAAGCUCCACCUCACAUAACACCAUCCGUAGCUUCUCUGGGACUGCAUUUGUGCUUGUAUGCGCAUCUGCUUGUAUGUGCACAUGUAUGGCAUAGCCGUGAGUGACAGCCAUGAAUGGCAGUCAUCUUAUUCAUCUUAUCUUAUUUCUAUUCAAUUUCAUUUCUAAUUGUGAAAAAAUGUGAAAUUCUUUUGUUCAAUCUGUUCUUUGAAGCCACUAAUGUUAACAUGCUGCAAGCAGUCCCCUUAAUCUAGAGCUGCAACAAUGAAUCAAUCAAUUUUUUUGCCUCUUUUCUGAUAAGUUGCGGACCCAACCACUAACUGUAGGUGUUUGCUUCAUGUUAAUUUGGUCCAUGUAUGGCCAACCGAUUACUCCAUUAACUGAAACAACAAGCUUCAGAUUACCGUAAUCGACUAAGAAAAAUGAUCAUGAUUGUAUUUUUGUGUACAUUUAUUGUUUUACUGAAGCAACUUGACAAACAUUUUGAUUUGUCAUUUAAAAUGAUUUUAACAGAAUAUUCAAGUGGCAACCUGGUGUUUGUGCACUGAUUUGCUCUGUCAGUUCAAAUCUUCUAUUUCUGAAUAAAGAGGCGGAAAUUAAAAAUGUGUUUUUUAAAUUUAAAAUAUGAUUAAUCGAAAAAAAUAAUCGACCGAUUAAUCGGUUAUUAAAAUAAUCGUUUGCUGCGGCCAUACCUUAAUGAAAAGACACUGAAAUUGAAAUUUGAGGUAGUGCAAAAAUAACGCGUGCUUGCACAAAACAAGUUAUUGAUCAUUUCGGGAACAGUACAUUUUAUUCACAAAUUGAAAAAUGGUUUGAAGAGAAAGUGUGUAAAUGGUAUAUUUGAGCAGUUGAGUUAGACCAACUGGACUUGGACAUGGAUGUGAAACAUCUUCAAGAAAAUCAGGAUUCAACUCUCUCUUCAACAAUAAGUUUAAUAAUAAUAGCAGGCUCAUUAAUCAGGCAGAGCCGGGGUAAUAGCUGGGAGUGAAACACCUCCCAGUCCCAUCAUACUGUAACUGGGAGACUGCAUUGUGAAUGCAAUACAACGUGAACUGCAGCUGUGAGAAGGUGUCGCUCUCUUUAUGGCACGCUUUUCUAUCGCAGAUAUCUGCAGCUUUGUGGCUGACUGGCAUGUUAAGUCCCCACUCAAUGUCCUUCCCCUCCAGCUCAAAGUUGACAGUCGCCCAUAAACAUGGCACGCACCUUGUGGCAGCAAGCAAAUAGCGUAGACAUGAGGUGCAUUCACGGACAUGCUUACCGUAUGUACCCACCAGUUGAGCUUCACUGAUGUCUACCAUAUGUAAGGUAAAUUCCAGUGUACAUGUACAUGAUAUGAGUAAGUAGUAUGUCAUGUUUGUGGGUUUAUGCAUAUGAGAAGUUUUGAAGGUUAUACAAGAUGAAAUAUGCAUACAUGGAAAGGUUCAUCGGUCCUUUAAUACAAAUGCUUUUUUCCAUUGAUACUUGUGAUUUCUGUUUUAAUAAUCUGUAGCAGCGCAUAUAUUUUUUUUUCAUCUCGUACUGUUUGUCAUCUGCUUUGUUAGACAAUAAAGCUCACGUGGAAUCAUGUUUACGUUCACAUUUCACCUCUUUAAGACAUAUUUUUCACCUAUAAAGACAUGUUUUUAAAAAGAAAAUUAAUGUUAGUGUGCGUGUACAUGAGUAUCAUUUCUAAACAGAAAAUAAAUGUUAG